AGGGCGCACGGGGGAUGCCUUGGCUCUCAGAGGCGAUGAAGGACGUGAUAAGCUGCGAUAAGCGUCGGGGAGGUGCAAAUAACCUUUGAUCCGGCGAUCUCCCAAUGGGGUAACCCAUCCGUUUGAAGACGGAUAUCUGCUCUAUAGCAGAAGCUAACGCAGGGAACUGAAACAUCUUACUACCUGCAGGAAAAGAAAACAAUAGUGAUUUCCUAAGUAGUGGCGAGCGAACGGGAAAAAGCCCAAACCACAAUUGUUAUGGCAAUUGUGGGGUUGUAGGACUGCCAUCUCAGCCAAAUUACAGAUAUUCGAACACUCCUGGAAAGUGGGGCCAUAGAGGGUGAUAGCCCCGUAGAAAAAAUCUGUAUCCGGCUUCGGCAGUCUCCUGAGUAACGCGAGACCGGAGAAAUCUUGCGCGAAUCUGCCAGCACCAUCUGGUAAGGCUAAAUACUACUGAGAGACCGAUAGCGAAUAAGUACCGUGAGGGAAAGGUGAAAAGUACCCCAAACAGGGGAGUGAAAUAGAACCUGAAACCGUGCGCCUACAAGCGGUCGGAGUCCCAAGCUUGUCGAGGGAUGACGGCGUGCCUUUUGCAUAAUGAGCCUACGAGUUACGCCUCUCUGGCAAGGUUAAUUCCGUUAACGGAUGGAGCCGAAGCGAAAGCAAGUCCUAAUAGGGCGCUGAGUCAGAGGGGGUAGACGCGAAACUUUGUGAUCUACCCAUGGCCAGGCUGAAGUCCCGGUAACACGGGAUGGAGGGCCGAACCGGUAAACGUUGAAACGUCUUCGGAUGAGCUGUGGGUAGGGGUGAAAGGCUAAUCAAACUGAGAGAUAGCUCGUACUCCCCGAAAUGUUUUUAGGAACAGCCUGGGGUCUAUUGUCUUAGAGGUAGAGCUACUGAUUGGAUGAGGGGGUCUCACCGCCUGCCAAAUCCUGACAAACUCCGAAUGCUAAGACAUAUUGCCCUGGAGUGAGGCCGUGGGUGCUAAGGUCCAUGGCCGAGAGGGAAACAACCCAGAUCAUCAGCUAAGGUCCCUAAAUGUAUGUUCAGUUGUUCUAACGAGGUCUGAUUGCAUUGACAGCUAGGAUGUUGGCUCGGAAGCAGCCAUUCAUUUAAAGAGUGCGUAACAGCUCACUAGUCGAGCGAUCGGGCGUGGAUAAUAAUCGGGCAUAAACAUACUACCGAAGCUAUGAAACUCUCCUUUAUGGAGAGUUGGUAGGGGAGCAUUCCAGUCUGCACCGAAGGCCCAUCGUAAGAUGAGCUGGAGCGUCUGGAAAAGAAAAUGUAGGCAUAAGUAACGAUAAUUCCGGUGAAAAACCGGAACACCGAAAGACUAAGGUUUCCUGAUCAACGCUAAUCGGAUCAGGGUUAGUCGGGACCUAAGGCGUACCCAAACGGGAUAGCUAAUGGACAUCAGGUUAAUAUUCCUGUACUUCCUUACAGUGCUAGGUAGGGACGUGAUCAUCAGGUGCUUACGUACUGACGGAAUAGUGCGUCGAGCCUAGCCUUUGGGCGAAGCAAAAGCAAGUAGUGUUCACCAAGAAAAGCUACCAAAGCUUCAGCUGUAAGGAACUCGUACCGCAAACCGACACAGGUAGUCGAGGAGAAUAUCCAUAGGUGCUCGAGUGAUUCAUGGCUAAGGAACUAGGCAAAUUGACCCUGUAACUUCGGAAGAAAGGGUCCCUGCUUCGGCAGGGCGCAGAGAAAUGGCCCAGGCGACUGUUUAACAAAAACACAUGGCUUUGCUAAAUCGAAAGAUGAUGUAUAAGGCCUGACACCUGCCCGGUGCUGGAAGGUUAAGGGGAGAGGUUAGCCCUCAAGGCGAAGCUUCAAACUGAAGCCCCAGUAAACGGCGGCCGUAACUAUAACGGUCCUAAGGUAGCGAAAUUCCUUGUCGGGUAAGUUCCGACCUGCACGAAUGGUGUAACGAUCUGGGCACUGUCUCAGCCAUGAGCUCGGUGAAAUUGUAGUAGCGGUGAAGAUGCCGCUUACCCGCAACGGGACGGAAAGACCCCGUGAACCUUUACUAUAGCUUAACAUUGACUCUGGAUAAAUGAUGUGUAGGAUAGGUGGGAGACUGUGAAGUCCCAACGCUAGUUGGGAUGGAGUCAACCUUGAAAUACCACCCUUCGUUUAUUCGGAGCCUAAUCCCCCUUAAGGGAAACAGUGUUUGGUGGGUAGUUUGACUGGGGUGGUCGCCUCCAAAAACGUAACGGAGGCUCUCAAAGGUACCCUCAGCACGCUUGGUAACCGUGCGUCGAGUGCAAUGGCAUAAGGGUGCUUGACUGCGAGACUUACUAGUCGAACAGGUAGGAAACUAGGACAUAGUGAUCCGGUGGUCCCAUAUGGAAGGGCCAUCGCUCAAAGGAUAAAAGGUACUCCGGGGAUAACAGGCUGAUCGCUCCCAAGAGCUCAUAUCGACGGAGCGGUUUGGCACCUCGAUGUCGGCUCGUCACAUCCUGGGGCUGGAGAAGGUCCCAAGGGUUGGGCUGUUCGCCCAUUAAAGUGGCACGCGAGCUGGGUUCAGAACGUCGUGAGACAGUUCGGUCCCUAUCUGUUGUGGGCGUAGGAAGUUUGAGGGGACCCGACCUUAGUACGAGAGGACCGGGUUGGACAAACCGCUGGUGUACCUGCUGUGGCGCCUAGCUGCACCGCAGGGUAGCUACGUUUGGUCGAGAGAAGUGCUGAAAGCAUCUAAGUACGAAACUCACCCCAAGAUGAGACUUCCAUUGAGGGCCCUUGUAGACCACAAGGUCGAUAGGCUGCAGGUGUAAAGAUGGUAACAUCCGCGCCAAGCAGUACUAAUAGCCCAAUACUUUCCCCC
rnacentral:rRNA from 1 species